CUCCUGAUAGCUCAGUGGUAGAGCAUGCGACUGUAGAUCGCGAGGUCGGUGGUUCGACUCCAUCUCAGGAGA
rnacentral:tRNA from 1 species